UAAGGAAUAUUGGUCAAUGGACGCAAGUCUGAACCAGCCAUGCCGCGUGAAGGAUGAAGGUCCUCUGGAUUGUAAACUUCUUUUAUCUGGGACGAAAACGGGAUUUUUAUCUCAAUUGACGGUACCAGAGGAAUAAGCACCGGCUAACUCCGUGCCAGCAGCCGCGGUAAUACGGAGGGUGCGAGCGUUAUCCGGAUUUACUGGGUUUAAAGGGUGCGUAGGUGGGCUUAUAAGUCAGUGGUGAAAUCUCCGAGCUUAACUUGGAAACUGCCGUUGAUACUAUAGGUCUUGAAUUAUCUGGAGGUAAGCGGAAUAUGUCAUGUAGCGGUGAAAUGCUUAGAUAUGACAUAGAACACCAAUCGCGAAGGCAGCUUACUACAUAUAAAUUGACGCUGAUGCACGAAAGCGUGGGGAUCAAACA
rnacentral:rRNA from 1 species